CCAACAAUUAAGUAGUCAAAAGCUAGCUAGAGGAUCGACAUCAUCAUAGUCCACCAAACAGAGAUUUCAUUCGCCAGUAAGUCAUUUCAAUUUCCACCUUGUUUUCUUCGCCUUUUACCAUUUAUACUGCUUUGCAGGAGGCGUCAAUGCACAUGAAACUUGACUAUCAAGUUUCUACCCCCAAGAACUUGGCUUCCAAGCCAGUGCUUUUGUUGAAAACAGCGGUCGGUUUUGUGGCAUAAUCGAAAUCUCUCCCUACCUCCGCAUCUUUCGCCAAGUUUAAGCCGCAAACCUCCGCGCGCCAAAACUUGGAUCCCACGAACUCUAGACGAGGUUCAAAGCUCCAAAGCACUCCGCCUCUACUUCGAAUCCGCCCAAAUCGAAAAAAAUCGCAGUGGUUCUUAGUAGCAGCAGCCCGCGCCGGGUGCCGUGGUGGCUACUGCGGCGGCAGGGAGCUCGCGCCCGAGGGCCCGAUCCGCGCCAUGGAGGAGCCGCUUGAUGAGAAGGAUUUGGAAAGGAAGCUGAAGAAAGAGCAGAAGGCGAAAUCGAAGGAGGGGAAGAAGCUCAAGGCAAAGCAGAAGGAGGAGGCCAGACUACAGGUCCAAGCAGCAUCCGAUGGAGCCAAGAAGAGUGAGAAGAAGCAAAAGAAGAAAGGUGUCACGGAUGAGAAUCCCGAGGAUCUCGUUGAUCCGGAUACUCCCACUGGACAGAAGAAACUGCUUGCUUCUCAAAUGGCCAAACAAUAUAGCCCGUCCGCUGUCGAGAAAUCAUGGUAUCCUUGGUGGGAGUCAUCACAGUAUUUUGUAGCAGAUGCCGCAAGCUCAAAGCCACCUUUUGUAAUAGUCCUGCCACCCCCAAAUGUGACAGGAGCCCUUCACAUAGGCCAUGCAAUUACAGUGGCAAUUGAGGAUGCUAUGAUCCGCUGGCGGAGGAUGUCAGGCUACAAUGCUUUGUGGAUUCCUGGAAUGGAUCAUGCUGGCAUAGCUACACAGGUCGUUGUGGAAAAGAAGAUCAUGCGUGAGAGGAAGCUGUCAAGGCAUGAUCUAGGGCGUGAUAAAUUUCUAUCUGAGCUCCACAACUGGAAAGAUCAGUAUGGUGGCACCAUACAGAGACAACUGCGUACGCUUGGAGCCUCGCUUGACUGGUCGCGCGAAUGUUUUACAAUGGAUGAGCAGAGAUCAGGAGCUGUAACAGAAACAUUUGUUAGGCUAUACAAGGAAGGUUUGAUAUAUAGGGAUAUUCGUCUCGUGAACUGGGAUUGCACGCUCCGUACAGCAAUUUCUGAUAUCGAGGUUGACCGUGUUGAUCUCAAGGCAGAGACUUUCUUAGAGGUCCCUGGUUAUAGCAACCCAGUUCAGUUUGGUGUUUUGACAUCUUUUGCCUACCCUCUAGAAGAAGGAUUGGGUGAAAUUAUCGUUGCAACAACUAGAAUAGAAACUAUGCUCGGUGAUACCGCUAUAGCUGUUCAUUCUCAGGAUGAAAGAUAUAAGCAUCUGCAUGGAAAAUAUGCCGUGCAUCCGUUUAAUGGCCGAAAACUUGAAAUAAUUUGCGCCGAUGACUUGGUGAAAGCCACUUUUGGUACUGGCGCUGUCAAGAUCACGCCAGCUCAUGAUAGCAAGGACUUCGAGGUUGGGAAACAGCAUAACCUGGACUUCAUCAAUAUUUUCACUGAUGACGGGAACAUAAAUGAAAAUGGAGGUCCACAAUUUGAAGGAAUGCCACGUUUCACCGCUCGAGCUGCUGUUAUUGAUGCACUAAAGGAAAAGGGUCUAUACAGAGGCAUGGAAAAUAAUGAGAUGGAAUUAGGUCGUUGUUCAAGAACUAAUGAUAUCGUCGAGCCAAUGAUCAAGCCCCAAUGGUUUGUUAAUUGUAAUACCAUGGCAAAGGCAGCUCUUGAUGCUGUGAAAUCCAAAGAGAUAGAGAUCAUUCCACCACAAUAUGAGCAAGACUGGUACAGGUGGCUUGAAAACAUACGCGAUUGGUGUAUUUCAAGACAACUUUGGUGGGGACACCGUGUACCUGCCUGAUAUGUGACAUUAGAAGAUGACAAAGAGAAAGGCAUGGGUUCAUACAUUGACCACUGGAUAAUCGCAAGAAAUAAAAGUGAUGCAGUACUGGAAGCAGAACAGAGGUACCCAGAGAAGAAAUAUCAGUUGGAUCAAGAUCCUGAUGUGUUGGACACAUGGUUUUCAGCUGGUCUUUUCCCCCUAACUGUACUUGGUUGGCCGGACAAUACAGCUGAUCUUAGUACUUUCUACCCGACUUCUGUUCUUGAAACUGGAUUGGACAUCCUCUUCUUUUGGGUAGCAAGGAUGGUGAUGAUGGGAAUGCUACUCCACGGUGAUGUGCCAUUUCGAAAGAUUUACUUGCAUCCAAUCAUUCGUGAUGCACAUGGCCGCAAAAUGUCCAAGUCACUAGGAAAUGUCAUUGAUCCCAUUGAUGUAAUAAAUGGUAUAACACUGGAAGGUCUUCAGAAAAAGUUGGAACAGGGCAAUCUGGACCAAGGCGAGUUGGAAAAGGCAAAAGAAGGUCAAAAGAAGGAUUUCCCUGAUGGUAUUCCUGAGUGUGGUACUGAUGCCCUUCGUUUUGCUCUGAUCUCCUACACUUCUCAGUCCGACAAGAUAAACCUGGAUAUCAAGCGAGUGCAUGGGUACAGACAAUGGUGCAAUAAGCUGUGGAACGCCAUCCGUUUUGCGAUGAUUAAGCUUGGAGAUCAGUACACUCCACCAGCAACUCUCGCGGUGCAUACUAUGCUGCCCAUCUGCAAUUGGAUACUCUCAGUACUUAGUAAGGCUGUUGGCAAGACCGUGUCAUCGUUAGAAGCAUAUAAAUUCUCUGACGCGACAUCCUCUAUAUACUUUUGGUGGCAAUACCAGCUUUGUGAUGUCUUUAUAGAAGCAAUUAAACCUUACUUCAAUGGAUCUGAAGAGUUCGAAUCUGCAAGAGGUGCUUCUAGAGAUACACUAUGGGCAUGCCUGGACACUGGUUUGCAUCUGCUCCAUCCAUUCAUGCCUUACAUAACAGAAGAGCUUUGGCAGCGCCUUCCUCAGCCUAAGGAGGCUUGUAGGAAAGAUUCCAUUAUGAUAUCAGAAUACCCCUCAGCUGUACAGGAAUGGGCAAACGAUAAAGUUGAGAAUGAAAUGGAGAUUGUGUUAGAUGCUGUGAGUAAGCUGAGAUCUCUCCGGCCACCAACAGAUAUACAGUUAAGGCGCCCAUCUUUUGUGCUCUGCCGAAACCUAGAGAUUGCAGCCACUGUUCGGUGCUACCAGGCUCAAAUUGCAACGCUUGCUUCUGUAUCAUCUCUUAAGAUCCUGACAGAGGAUGAUCCAACUCCACCCGAUUGUGCCACAAAUAUUGUAAACAAAGAUCUAGCCGUGUAUCUCCAGUUCCGAGGGGCUCUCGACACGGAAGCUGAACAUGAGAAGCUUAGGAAGAAGAGAGAGGAAGUUCAAAAGCAAUAUGACACCCUGUCACAGAAAAUGAGUGCUUCAGGCUACCGUGAGAAGGCCCCGCAGAGCAAGCAGGAUGAUGACAUGAAAAAACUUGCUACUCUGUUGGAGGAGCUGGAGAUCAUCAGCGAAGCUGAGUAAACUGGAUGCAAAAAACUGACAAAUGUUUUGUGACUCAAUCUUUUGAAGGCCUGCAGAUAUGAUUAGCAUGCAUCUAGAUGGACGAUCCUCGGCACCCUGUACAGUCACUCCCACAGUUGCCACUGUUUGUAAAAAGCCUCGUCCACGCAUUUUGUGUGUGUGACAUGGGGGUGCUUUUAGGGCCUCAUCUUAUGCAUUUUCAAAAUUUCAGUUUGAUUUGUGUCCAUUCACAUUGUUGGCAUUUUCCCAAUUGCUGUGGAGUGUGGUGGACUCUUGUGAGAGAAUUUGUGCUUUGCAAAAAUAAAACUGUUUUCUCUGCACGCAACAGACACAUAAAAUAUGUACUCCCUCCGUAAACUAAUAUAAAAGCGUUUAGAUCACUACUUUAGUUAUUCAAACACUCUUAUAUUAGUUUACAGAGGGAGUAUCUGUUAAGUGCUUUGCAG
rnacentral:rRNA from 1 species